rnacentral:lncRNA from 1 species
AUACAGAAAAUAGAGUAUUACAGUUGAUAGGUGUAUUAAAAUAAUGAGGUCGAGUAUUAUAUUUUAAAAUAACUCAAUAUUAUAAAUAGAAGUUCUUAAAUGUGUCUCAUUACUUAAAACACAAUUUAUCUUUCUAAAACUCUUUCUCUUAGUUCUCUCUACCUUUUCUCUACACUUUUAUACUCUCUGAUCAUUUGUUUGACAAUCAGGAAGUUCCUACGUGAUCACUGUUAAGUUGUCUUCAAUAUCCAC